GACCUCUGGGAUAGGUUCUCGCACGCGCGCACACACAAAAUGGCUGCCAUGGGGUACAAGAGCAAAUCACAGAUGAUUGAAAAGCAGACAACAAAGUCAGUUGUUUCUAGGCUGUGCAGAAGAAGGAAAUCUGAGUGGUCUUGGGGGAGAAGAAAUAGGAGUAGGGCAGGUUGCAGACCCCUAGAGUAGGGAACCAAAUCCAGUUCUCCUGAUUAGAGUCCACCCGCUUUUAGCCACUGCGCCACACUGGCUCCAUGUUCGGAGGCGGUUGGAGGGAUGGAGCCAAAGGAGGUGUGUUUGGCUCGUCUGCCCUGCUUGCAUGGGGUUGGGGGUAUUGCAUGGGGCACUGUGGGAAGAAUAGAAGCUGGGGGGGGGGGGGGGGGUCGUUUGGAUCCAGUCAUAAAGUGAGCAUUAUUAUUAUUAUCAUCAUCAUCAUCCUGAAAUAGCACUCAGAAAAAGCACCAACUUCCCGUGAUGCCCAGUAAGAGAGAUGAACCGUUAA